rnacentral:rRNA from 1 species
UACGGAGGGUGCGAGCGUUAUCCGGAUUCACUGGGUUUAAAGGGUGCGUAGGUGGGAAUGUAAGUCAGUGGUGAAAUCUCUGAGCUUAACUCAGAAACUGCCAUUGAUACUAUGUUUCUUGAAUUUUCUGGAGGUCAGCGGAAUAUGUCAUGUAGCGGUGAAAUGCUUAGAUAUGACAUUAGAACACCAAUUGCGAAGGCAGCUGGCUACAGGGAUAUUGACACUGAGGCACGAAAGCGUGGGGAUCAAACAGG